rnacentral:rRNA from 1 species
AUGGUUCGGUGGUCGGAGAUUUGUAAGCUGCGUGACCAGGGCGGUCUCGGGAUCAUGUCCUCCAAACGCAUGAACAUUGCCCUCGUGAAUAGGUGGCUGUGGCGGAUUACGCACGGAGAGGGCGGCCUGUGGCUUCGCCUCAUUCAGCAGAAAUACCUCCUUGGCCAGCCUCUCGCCUUCUGCCAGCGGUCUGGAGGCUUCCAGUUCUGGCAAUCCAUCAUUCAGCUCCUCCCAGUCCUCCGCAUCGGGACCUCGAUCGUGGUUGGAUCUGGCACCGCCAUGCUGUUCUGGUUCGAUAGAUGGGCCGGGGACAUGCCCCUUGCGGCUCGCUUUCCUGACCUGUUCUCCAUCGCGGUUGAUCCGCGGAUUUCUGUCGCGAUGACCCUUAUUGACUUA